rnacentral:lncRNA from 1 species
AUAUAAUCGUAGAGGUACAGGAAAAUCGCGUCCAAUGGAAAUCACAAAUGCUUUUAUACGUUUGCAUUGACCACACAUAAGUUCUCGCCGGUAUACGGACGGGCAUUUCGACUAGUGUGACUGCACGCAAUGAAGAAUUUCAUAUGCAGUAGUGUCAUCCCUUGGGCCAUAUUGGCGCUUUUUUUGCCCGCAGUAGAGAAGAGAUAUUCCUUUUCUGCCACCGCUGUCCUUUAUUAUGGGCCAAGCGCAGCAAGUACCCACGGUCAUGGUCGUCACCGUAACGAACUACACCAUGGGUCAAAAGGGUCAAAAGGGUCAGGUCACAAAAGUGGGAAAAACGAAAAGAAUCCCAACGACAGCAAGGUGAAGCAAUUCAUGAAAAGGGUAAAAAAAAACGCUGUGCCCAUUUCUAAGACUAUGGCUAUGAUUGUAUAAACACAGAGAAGUCUGGAAAUAAAUGUCUUCGUACCAAUGGGGAAA